UACAGAGGGUGCAAGCGUUGUUCGGAAUUACUGGGCGUAAAGCGUGCGCAGGCGGUUUUGUAAGACCGAUGUGAAAUCCCCGGGCUUAACCUGGGAACUGCAUUGGUGACUGCAAGGCUUGAGUGUGUCAGAGGGAGGUGGAAUUCCGCGUGUAGCAGUGAAAUGCGUAGAUAUGCGGAGGAACACCGAUGGCGAAGGCAGCCUCCUGGGAUAACACUGACGCUCAUGCACGAAAGCGUGGGGAGCAAACAGG
rnacentral:rRNA from 1 species